rnacentral:lncRNA from 1 species
CUUUGAUGCCGGCUGUCAGCAAAAAAUGCAGGCAGAAAACGCGUGCCUUCAGCUGCUGCCACGCACAGAGCAGCAAGAGCCCCAUCCCAACAUCCUGCUGAGCACAGAGGGCCUCUUAAUGGGCGAAGAGGAGGUGAAACGCACAGCAGAGCGGUGGGGAUCUCCCCAGCUUGGAGGUUCCCAGGACCAUGUUGUGCUGUGCACACAGCAGAUGUGAGGCAUUACCCACACAGCACCAGCUGAGCCACAAAGACCAAGGAGGAUGAACAUGGCUUUCCAGCAUCACGAGGCCACCAGCACCUGCGCUGCCCCAGCCAAGCUUGAAAUGCAAAGGGAAAACAAUGCAAAUGGCAAAUACUCCACGGAUUCUGCAGCUUGCUUUGAGUGGCAAUAAUGCCAUCUAACAAAUAAAUUCAUUAACAGCACAGAGUCUGUCCCAGCACCUUGGGUCUGCGUUUGCCAUGCGGGCUCUUGGAUGGCUCCAUGAGCAGUGCAGACAGCUGCGCCCGCAGAGAUGUCGUGGAAACAAAGGCAACAAAAUAAGAUUUGGAAUUUGCUUUGAAAUUCUGCCUUGGAUCUUCAGGGAAAAAAAAAAAAAAAAAAAGGAAAGAAAGAAAGAAAAAAACCAACAGAAAAACAAAACAGAUGUGUGGUGUUUUUUAUUCUUUUUCUCAUGGAGGCGAACUGCCCCCCGCUCACUAAAGCAGGUGAAGGCAGCAGAGCCCAGAGCUUGGUGAGCCCCUGGUUCCCAGUGCUAAGAGCUCAGUGCUGUGUGGGUCUGACAGAGAGAUCUGAGGAGCCCAAGGCUUCUUGCUCACAUCGCCACGCACUUCAGAAAGAGAUCUGAGCAAUAACACAACAACAACAUGUGCAACUACUUAGAAGUCAAUUAAUAUCAGAGGAAGGACCCUUGUUGAAUCCAGCAGAAAGAAUGAUGGUUACAUUUCCGGAAUAAUGGCUGAAAUUUGCCAUUGUGUGUCAUCAGGAAUCAUUUAAAAUAGUUUUGAUCUCAGCUUUUUCUGUCGG